rnacentral:lncRNA from 1 species
GUCCGGUGGCGCCAUCUCUCGGACUUGCGGUGGUUGUCUCCGCCACACAGUCCUUACAACCCAGAGACCCGUGC